AGAGUGAACGCUGGCGGUAGGCCUAACACAUGCAAGUCGAACGGCAGCACGGUAAGAGCUUGCUCUUAUGGGUGGCGAGUGGCGGACGGGUGAGGAAUACAUCGGAAUCUACCUUUUGGUGGGGGAUAACGUAGGGAAACUUACGCUAAUACCGCAUACGCCCUUCGGGGGAAAGCCUGGGACCAGCAAUGGCCUGGUGCUGAUAGAUGAGCCGAUGUCGGAUUAGCUAGUUGGUGAGGUAAUGGCUCACCAAGGCGACGAUCCGUAGCUGGUCUGAGAGGAUGAUCAGCCACACUGGAACUGACGACUACGGUCCAGACCUCCGUACGGGACGCAGCGAGGUAGGGGAAUAGUUAGGACAAGGU
rnacentral:rRNA from 1 species